UCAGCCUUUCCCCAGGCCAGACCCUGUGCCUCACUGUCCUCCCCGUUCACUGCCCACAAAGAAAGCUGCAGGCAGGCUGUCGGGGGACCUGCCUGCUGAGAGGGGGGUCCCCACGUGCAGGGCCUGACGUGGGAGCAGGGGAGGAGGCGGCUGUGGACCCCUGCUCCGAACACGGUUUUCACAUCCUCUCCCAUCAGGUCAGAGUCCCAGGAAGCAGCCGUUGUGAGAAAUGGCAAAGAUCGGGAAGGAUCCCUUCUUGUUCCAGAAACAAGCAGAAAAGCGAUUCUGGUUUGGUUUGUCCUGCGUGAGUUUUACUCCCCAACCUGGUGUUCGGGGGAAAAUUAAGGAAAUUUGACCAAGAUGAAGCGAUCAGGAAAACGCUCAGCAGCUAAACGGGCUCGCAGUUGGCGUGACAGCGUUCAGGGGCCCGUCCCUCCCUUUCACAAAAGCCGCCGUCUUUGCCAACGUUUAGAGUGCUUCCUCCGACAGCAGGAACUGAGCCGCGUGUGACAGCAGGUGGUCACUCAAAGCUGAGCAAUCGGGAGCCUACGUGGUGUGGAGUGCACCAGGAAUCUCUAUGCCCAACAUGGGGCUCAAACUCACGGCCCGGAGAGUGGCACACUCCCCCGAGAGCUGCAGCCCUGCACGUCCAGCAGCGGCGCACGGCUGUCUUCCCGCCCCUGCCGCCCGUGCCCGGGGCUGCACGCUGUGUCGGGUGUCCAGACGGUGGGUGUGAGGCAACCUAGUGCUACUUUCGCCGGCCUUCACGGGCACUGGCAAGCUCACACACAGCUCAUCCAGUCUGGCGGGAUUCCGGCUCCUUGUCUGUGAACUUACUCUCCUCCCCCUCUGGCGUCCUCCUUCCGCUUUGCCAACUUCACACCCCUCCAACGGACAUAAUUUUGUUCGUGGAUUUUUACUUAUUACACUUAAAUCUUUCAUCCAUCCAUCUAUUAAGAUAGGGAUUCAACUCCGUCCUUCUAGACGAACAACCAGUCGCGCUCACGCUGUUCGCUAAAGCUACAAUUUUCCCUCCUCUCUGUCUACCACGCCUUAUUUUCUACGCCCUUCCACUGACCUCUCGGUCUGUUCUCAUGCCAUACCAUGAAAAUUUGAUUGUAGUGGCUUAAAAAUGCUAUCUUUUCCACACUUUCCUUGGACAUUUUGCCACAUAAAUCCUUAGGCUGAUUUUGUUCGGUGAAAAAAGGCCUGCCAAGACAUUCCGCCGCAGCCGCCUUCAUCGCGGGACACUGGCCUUUCUAGAGAGCAACCCUUCCCACCCAAAGCCGGGCUGUGCCGCCAGCUGUCUUCCAUCUGUCACCGAGCAUUUCACAGCUUCCGCCUUCUGGGCUCUGUGCACCCAGAGAGGACCGGGCGCUGACACUCAGACCUGUCGGGGUCGCCAUUCCCGCGGGGGCACGGGAGGCUGGGCUGGGACGGCAGGUGGAAGGGAGGAGGGCUGUGCCUGCACCCACCACCUCCCGGCCCGCGUCCAUCACUGCCACCUUUGUUUUCUUUUUGCUACACCGCAAUGUCACAUGUCAUGCCACUCUUCGAAUGUCAUUGAGGGAUGUGAACCAUUUUAUAAUUCACAACCACUGGUGAUCAAUUCCAGGUAAGCAAAUACAUUUUCAUUUUGUUUUGCUUAUCAUGUGCUAGCGAAUACAGACUACAGAUAUUCGAGCUAUUCCUUGGGUCACCAGAAUCAUCCCUAGCUGUAGUUUUGUAAGUAAGACAUGCGAAAGUGUGUCGAAGCUUUGUGAGGUGUAAAGUUGAGGAUGAUGUUUGUAGGGGGACGUCUGGAUCGAUCUUAGGAGACUGCGUGUGAGGCCCAUCCGUGUCCAGGCACAACUAAGGCGCUAAGUCGGAAAAUCUGUGUGUGGGAGAAAAUCCGGCUGUGGGCCCGUGGGCGUGUCUGAGAUCUUCAAUGCCCUUCAGAUCAAUGCCUCAGGACCCUGCCCAACUCACCAGACCUGGCACUGCCCUGCAUGAGGGGACUGGGCCCCCAAGUCCCCAGGCCACUGUGAAGACUCUGUGUCAAAUGGUGAACAGGUCACCCUGUCACACCGCGGGCUACAACAAGCCCUGUGACCGACAGAUGCUUCCAGAAGGGCCAAUAGGACCCUGCCUCAUCGUGACACCAAUCGUCAGUAAGCCCCAAACUCCUAACAGGGAAGCUGAGAGUGUGCCCUACAGCAAUGCUACAUCCCUUCCUGGCUAUGUGAGGCCCCUCGCGAUAUCAUGUGGAGUCCCAGUGUCCUGUCCUGCCACCAAGAUCCUCCAUCGGGCAGCCCGCCUUCCCCACGCCGCCUGUGUCCCAGCAGAGCCUCUGACCCCUGGGCUGGGGCUUCAUGGUGAGCCCACCCUCCAUCGGCUACUCCACGCGAGCUCGAUCCUGAAACCCCGGCAGGCUCCCCAAGCACGCCCGCUCCUUCAGCCCCACGGCGCUCACUGGGACCUCUCCAACAAUCUCCUCCACUUCUAUCACUUGCCUUUUCUUGAGCUGUGCGUGUGUUUCCCUAACAAGGAAGACAGAGAGUGAGUGGUGAUGUUUAAAUGUAGCAGCUGGGGCGGCUGGGGGGGCGCAGAUGAUUGAGCAUCUGCUUUCGGCUCAGGUCAUGAUCUCCAGGUCCUGUGAUCGAGCCCCACAUUGGGCUUCCAGCUCAGAGGCGAGCCUGCUUCUCC